rnacentral:rRNA from 1 species
CGGUUGAUCCUGCCGGGACCCGACUGCUAUUUGGGUGAGGAUAAGCCAUGCGAGUUGAAUGGGAUACCUAAAUUUCCCAUAGCAAACUGCUUAGUAACACAUGAUCAACUUGCCCUAUGGAGAAAAAUAACCUCGGGAAACUGAGGAUAAUGUUUCAUAGUUGAAAAGGCUUGGAAAAGUUUUUCAAUGAAAGGGAUAAGAUAAAUGGUUCUUAUUUGCCAUAGGAUAGGAUCGUGGUCGAUUAUGGUAGUUGGUGAGAUAAUGGCUCACCAAGCCGAUAAUCGAUAGGGGCCGUGAGAGCGGGAGCCCCAAGAUGGGUACUGAGACAGCGACCCAGGCCUUACGAGGCGCAGCAGGCGCGAAACCUCCGCAAUACACGAAAGUGUGACGGGGUUACCCAAAGUGUUCUCUUUAGAACUGUGGUAGGUGAGUAAUGUCCCCUACUAGAAAGGAGAGGGCAAGGCUGGUGCCAGCCGCCGCGGUAAAACCAGCUCUUCAAGUGGUCGGGAUAAUUAUUGGGCUUAAAGUGUCCGUAGCCGGUUUAGUUAGUUCCUGGUAAAAUCGGGUAGCUUAACUAUCUGCAUGCUAGGAAUACUGCUAUACUAGAGGGCGGGAGAAGUCUGAGGUACUACAGGGGUAGGGGUGAAAUCUUAUAAUCCUUGUAGGACCACCAGUGGCGAAGGCUUCAGACUGGAACGCGCCUGACGGUGAGGGACGAAAGCCAGGGGAGCGAACCGGAUUAGAUACCCGGGUAGUCCUGGCCGUAAACGAUGCAUACUAGGUGAUGGUACGGCCAUGAGCCGUAUCAGUGCCGUAGGGAAACCGUUAAGUGUGCCGCCUGGGAAGUACGGUCGCAAGGCUAAAACUUAAAGGAAUUGGCGGGGGAGCAC